AGUUUGAUCAUGGCUCAGAGCGAACGCUGGCGGCAGGCUUAACACAUGCAAGUCGAGCGGGCGUAGCAAUACGUCAGCGGCAGACGGGUGAGUAACGCGUGGGAACAUACCUUUUGGUUCGGAACAACACAGGGAAACUUGUGCUAAUACCGGAUAAGCCCUUACGGGGAAAGAUUUUUCGCCGAAAGAUUGGCCCGCGUCUGAUUAGCUAGUUGGUGAGGUAAUGGCUCACCAAGGCGACGAUCAGUAGCUGGUCUGAGAGGAUGAUCAGCCACAUUGGGACUGAGACACGGCCCAAACUCCUACGGGAGGCAGUAGUGGGGAAUAUUGGACAAUGGGCGCAAGCCUGAUCCAGCCAUGCCGCGUGAGUGAUGAAGGCCCUAGGGUUGUAAAGCUC
rnacentral:rRNA from 1 species